rnacentral:rRNA from 1 species
AUUGAACGCUGGCGGCAGGCCUAACACAUGCAAGUCGAGCGGAUGAGGGGUGCUUGCACCCCGAUUCAGCGGCGGACGGGUGAGUAAUGCCUAGGAAUCUGCCCGAUAGUGGGGGACAACGUUUCGAAAGGAACGCUAAUACCGAAUACGUCCUACGGGAGAAAGUGGGGGCUCUUAGGACCUCACGCUAUCGGCUGAUACUAGGUCGGAUUAGCGAGUUGGUGGGGUAAAGGCUCACCAAGGCGACGAUCCGUAACUGGUCUGAGAUGGAUGAUCAGUCACACUGGAACUGAGACACGGUCCAGACUCCUACGGGAGGGAGCAGUGGGGAAUAUUGGACAAUGGGCGAAAGCCUGAUCCAGCCAUGCCGCGUGUGUGAAGAAGGUCUUCGGAUUGUAAAGCACUUUAAGUCGGGAGGAAGGGCUGCAGGUUAAUACCUUGCAGUCUUGACGUUACCGACAGAAUAAGCACCGGCUAACUUCGUGCCAGCCGCCGCAGUAAAAC